UUUAAAAAAUGCAUAUUUAUAUUCACUAAGUAAUAUGUGAAUAUGCUACUGCAGUUGAAAGUAUUUUUGCUAAACAGUGUCACAAACUCAUUACAGAUAAAAUAAGACAAAGCAAGAAGAAUCUUUAUUCUCCCGACAUUUAAUCACAGCAUCUUUUGUACUGAUCACAAUGUCAUACACUCAUCCUGUCCUGUACCUAAGGACAAGGCUACCCUAUCGAGUUUAAUACAUUUAGUUGCCACAGUUCAAAAAGCAUAGAUGCUACUGCUGGUGUCUCCCAGGUUAAUCACAAUGGAGACACGUCGCAGGUGAGAACCACCCCUGCGGAUCUGCUUUGAGCUGGCUCAAGCCUCUUCCCUCUCCACCCUCAGACCAGGAGAUUCCGGCCUGGGCUGGAUGCUGUGUCCCAGGCUGCGUGAGAGAUGGGGUUCCCUCUAGCUCCUCUCCUGGGCCCACCUACAGCCCUCCUUCUGGGCAGAUACUGCAGAACAGUAAUUCCCUACAAGUCGUGACCAGAUGAGAGCUGUUCUGCUAAAUGAUAAAUCAUCUUAAAA